UGCACUGUCACCAAGAUAACGCCAGGGGGCGUUGUAAGGUGUUAUGUUGGGGGGCAUGUCCAGGUGUGGUUUUAAGGAGAGGGGGGUGGACCUACUGCUGGUAUAUUUAAGGUGGGGGUAUUGAUCGUUUUGAGAAGACACGCCAGCACAUGAGCUCUGAUCGGAGGAGUGCGUCAAAAAGUUGGAGAGCGUCAAAAGUUGUUUCGAGAUGGUUAAAGGUAAGUCAUGCUACUAUUUAUACCAGUAUAAUAAUAAUAAUAAUAAUACACUAAGAUUAUCAUAUAAAACAUGAUGUAAUGUGUAUGUAAUAUCAUGCAGAUAUAACCGUAUUUGCUGACGUACAUGAAGUAUUUGAUGACGACUUCAGUGGCGUUUAUUUAACGCAAUCAGACUACGAUCUCGUGGCCGC